rnacentral:antisense_RNA from 1 species
CUUCAGCGAGCCGAGCCAGGCCGGGUCAUCCCGGGUGUGCGCCCGCCCGUAGGUGGCCAGCAGCGCGUUCACCUC